UAGACCCAUCCUUUACUCGGAUCGUCCGGCACGUUCCUGCCGGUGAAGGGGGCCCAUU
rfam:Streptomyces aurantiacus JA 4570 Seq302, whole genome shotgun sequence.